rnacentral:lncRNA from 1 species
AAACUGAAUCUACUGAGUAUACAAUAUUGCACAUGUACAUGAAUUUAUACUGUAACUGAGAUUGCCAACUUUCGAAGGCUAAAAUAGGCUAAGUCUGGGAAUUGGGUUAGAAUUUUCUAAGUCUAGGAACCCUUGACAAGCUUAAAGGACUGAAUUAUUCUCAGAAGUUUUGUGGAGUUUUACAAUGAGAGUUCCUGAAAACUGAAACUACUGAGU